rfam:Actinomyces sp. oral taxon 180 str. F0310 genomic scaffold SCAFFOLD1, whole genome shotgun sequence.
CGAGUACUCCGGGGUCGGUGAAAGUCCGAACCGGCGGUGAUAGUCCGCGACCUGCCCUCACAGAACGGGGGUGGCUGAGCCGGUGAAAUUCCGGCACCGACGGUGAAAGUCCGGAUGGGAGGAGUGCAUG